AGGCUUGUACAGGUGCUGCAUGGCUGUCGUCAGCUCGUGUCGUGAGAUGUUCGGUUAAGUCCGCUACGAGCGCAACCCUCGCUGUGUGUUACAAGUGUCACACGGAACUGCCGGUCAUAAACCAGAGGAAGGUGGGGAUGACGUCAAGUCAGCAUGGCCUUUAUAUCCUGGGCUACACACACGCUACAAUGGGAAGGGACAAUAGGUUGCGAAGCCGCGAGGCGGAGCCAAUCCAGCAAAACUUCCCUCAGUUCAGAUUGCAGGCUGCAACUCGCCUGCAUGAAGUUGGAGUUGCUAGUAAACGCAGGUCAGCCAUACUGCGUUGAAUACGUUCCCGGGGCUU
rnacentral:rRNA from 1 species